UCUCCGUAGGUGAACCUGCGGAGGGAUCAUUACUGAGUGAGGGCCUUCGGGCUCGACCUCCAACCCUUUUGUGAACCACCUCGUUGCUUCGGGGGCGACCCUGCCGUUUCGACGGCGAGCGCCCCCGGAGGCUCAUCAAACACUGCAUCUUUGCGUCGGAGUCUUAAUGAAUUUAAACAAAACUUUUAACAACGGAUCUCUUGGUUCUGGCAUCGAUGAAGAACGCAGC
rnacentral:misc_RNA from 1 species